rnacentral:rRNA from 1 species
GACGAACGCUGGCGGCGUGCUUAACACAUGCAAGUCGAACGGAAAGGCCCUGCUUUUGUGGGGUGCUCGAGUGGCGAACGGGUGAGUAACACGUGAGUAACCUGCCCUUGACUUUGGGAUAACUUCAGGAAACUGGUGCUAAUACCGGAUAGGAGCUCCUGCUGCAUGGUGGGGGUUGGAAAGUUUCGUCGGUUGGGGAUGGACUCGCGGCUUAUCAGCUUGUUGGUGGGGUAGUGGCUUACCAAGGCUUUGACGGGUAGCCGGCCUGAGAGGGUGACCGGCCACAUUGGGACUGAGAUACGGCCCAGACUCCUACGGGAGGCAGCAGUGGGGAAUAUUGCACAAUGGGCGGAAGCCUGAUGCAGCAACGCCGCGUGCGGGAUGACGGCCUUCGGGUUGUAAACCGCUUUCGCCUGUGACGAAGCGUGAGUGACGGUAGUGGGUAAAGAAGCACCGGCUAACUACGUG